rnacentral:sRNA from 1 species
AGGUGUAUUUUGUGUGACUGCUCUACACUCAGGCCUUCUGGAAACCCUGCAGAGGGUAGCUCUGGUGGCCAGCUCUCUUGCUGAAAAUGAGCAACAUAAGUACAUGAAAAACCCGACAACUUUGACAAUUAUUCUGCCAAUGUUAUGGUAGAUGGAAAACCGGUGAAUCUGGGCUUAUGGGAUACAGCUGGACAAGAAGAUUAUGACAGAUUACGCCCCCUAUCCUAUCCGCAAACAGAUGUGUUCUUAAUUUGCUUUUCCCUUGUGAGUCCUGCAUCAUUUGAAAAUGUCCGUGCAAAGUGGUAUCCUGAGGUGCGGCACCACUGUCCCAACACUCCCAUCAUCCUAGUGGGAACUAAACUUGAUCUUAGGGAUGAUAAAGACACGAUCGAGAAACUGAAGGAGAAGAAGCUGACUCCCAUCACCUAUCCGCAGGGUCUAGCCAUGGCUAAGGAGAUUGGUGCUGUAAAAUACCUGGAGUGCUCAGCGCUCACACAGCGAGGCCUCAAGACAGUGUUUGACGAAGCGAUCCGAGCAGUCCUCUGCCCACCUCCCGUGAAGAAGAGGAAGAGAAAAUGCCUGCUGUUGUAAAUGUCUGAGCCCCUCGUUCUUGGUCCUGUCCCUUGGAACCUUUGUACGCUUUGCUC